AUGUGUGCAGCAAAAUGUGAUGGUGGUCUUGGCUUUAGAGACCCGGAAGCAUUUAAUCAAGCUCUCUUAGCAAAGCAGGCAUGGAGGAUCUUGCUAUAUCCAGCCUCGCUGUGUGCACGUGUCCUCAAGGCGAGAUACUUUCCGGAUAACUCCAUUAUGUCGGCUACGUGCCCCUCGGGGGGAUCGUUCACUUUUAGAAGUAUACUACAUGGG
rnacentral:rRNA from 1 species